GAUGAACGCUAGCGGCAGGCCUAAUACAUGCAAGUCGAACGAGAUUGUUGUAGCAAUAUGACAUGAAAGUGGCGCACGGGUGCGUAACACGUAUGCAAUCUACCUCUAAUUGGAGAAUAGCCUCGAGAAAUCGGGAUUAAUACUCCAUAACACUAUUGAAUGGCAUCAUUUGAUAAUCAAACUUCCGGGGAUUAGAGAUGAGCAUGCGCAACAUUAGCUAGUUGGUAAGGUAACGGCUUACCAAGGCUACGAUGUUUAGGGGGUCUGAGAGGAUGAUCCCCCACACUGGUACUGAGACACGAACCAGACUCCUACGGGAGGCAGAAGUAGGGAAUAUUUGGCAAUGUAGGAAACUCUGUCGCAGCCAUGCCGCGUGCAGGAUGACGGCCCUCUGGGUUGUAAACUGCUUGUAUACGGGGAGAAAAAAUACUACGUGUAGUAUACUGUCGGUACCGUAAGAAUAAGGAUCGGCUAACUCCGUGCCAGCAGCCGCCGUAAUAC
rnacentral:rRNA from 1 species